UCCGCCCCCCGCCCGGCCCGACACGGCCCCGCCGCCUGCCCGCUCCUCGCCCGCCGCUGCACAAAGUUAACCUCUUUUGGAUUUGCAAGUCCUCAAGAAAUCCACGCCGCGAUGCCUGUUGACAAUCCUUGACAGAUUUGGAUCUCGUUAAAGCAGGAGAUGGAAUGGUCUGGCUUCACAAACUGUGAGUCUGACAUUACAAGUGGAUGCGAAGCAAUGCUGGGAUACUAAGUGGCCUCUGUUCCCACGGAGUUGCUAUUUGGAGAGAGAUUCUUAAACAAUAGAUUAUUUCUAUUAUGUAUAAUCUGACACCAAGUUGUAUUGAUUAAGUAAUUGAGUGAAAUGAUUCUGUUAUAAAAGACAUGUUUUGUGGGAAUUGCUUGUGAAAUUGCAGGCAGUAGCAGCUGUUGGAUCAUAACACUGCACAUAUUCAAGUCUUUUACUAAAUAUAAUCAUAAAGAAAUAGAAUUCACAAGGUUUUUAGUACAACAUGCAGAUGCAUCAUUUUUGGGGGGAAGUUUCUCCCUUUCCUCUGGUCCAUAGCUACAUAGAUAUCCUUACUUGAUAUGAAUUAAACAAUUUCCAGUGUGGACAGUUUUAGCUCAGGUAUCAGUAUAGACACACAUGCACAACUGUAAUAAAGUUGUCAUCUUGGCAAGCUGAACUCCAUUGCUUUUUAGUCACCUGUGAGAAGUAAUAGUGACAAUGACAGGAUCUCAUCCACCUUCACAUACUGCGGGUUUCCAGCUCUCUCGGUUCACUGUCAUUCAACUCCCUUUUCUGAUGUACAACUGCAAUGACAAACUAGUUGGCUGAAUAGUCCAAUGAAGCCAAAAACAUUCUGAAAUUCCAAGGUAUGUGCAAUUAGCUGGGAGCAGAUCUCCAGUUUGCACUUUUAUUUUAACAUCAGCUCAAGUAAGUCUUUGUUCUGAGUAGUUUGAUCCACCUGGGGAUUUCCUUUAGGAAAAGGGAGUUUAGAAGUUAGUUGCAGUUCACAGAGUAAGUGGUAAAAGACUCAUUCCAAUUGACAUUAUUUCAAACCGAACGGAAGAAUCAGCAAUUCAUUCCUAUUCCCAUUCAUUGACUCCUUGAGCAAUGGAAGCUGCUCCUCUAAGCCUUAGGUCAAAGUGAAGUUGAUUCCAUUCCUUGUUACCAUCAACAACAUUGACAUAUUGGAAUAUAACUAAAAAUGAAUGCAGUAUCUGUGUAACUAAUUAUUCUCCCCCACACUCCCCCCGGAACGGUGCUUUAGGACAAAAGCUAUAGGAAAACUGCACAGCCUGUUAAAGCAUGGUGAUCCUCAGCAGAGCUUUGUAAACUCUUGGCUAACUGCUUGAAAAAGCUGGUUGACUUCUUAUUAACCUACAAGAUUCACGAAGAUAAAACUUGUUUUCAAUACGUUUUUAGAUUUGAAUGAGCAGGAUUAUAAUAUGAACAAAAACUAAUUUAACAAUUUGCCUCUUUCAGGCUUUUAUGCAACAUCUCUCUUCAAACUUGCCCUGCUAAGCCUUUGGUGUCAGAGUUGAUUAACACAAAGGAGGAGAUAGAGGCACUGUUCCUUGCAACAUUUAGGUCAGCGCUGAUAUUCUCCAGCAUGUAUCUAGGCCACGUCUAAUUAAUCCCAGAAUAUUCCAUCGCUGCCAGUUUAUCUCUGCCAGCUUCUCCCAUGGAAACCUGGCAGCAAAGAUUUUUACCUUAGGUGAGGAAUUUCCCUUUUCUGAAGGCAAAUGGGAGAUUUUUUUUUUUUUCCAUAGUCUAAUUAUGUAAUGUUUAUGCAAUAACUUAUAGAGCCCUUAGGAUAUGAAGUAUUUAGUAGGGUUGAAUACCUCUACUUGAAAUUAGGGGAGUAUUGCCGUCAACUUAAUUUGAGCUAGGACUUCAACCCCAGUUGUGUUGGGGAUAAAGCUGACCAACUAGGGCCUUCUCAUUUCUAAAUUUGAUACUGCUAGUCAAAAGAAU